rnacentral:rRNA from 1 species
CCUACGGGUGGCAGCAGUGAGGAAUAUUGGUCAAUGGACGAGAGUCUGAACCAGCCAAUUAGCGUGAAGGAUGACUGCCCUAUGGGUUGUAAACUUCUUUUAUAAAGGAAUAAAACGAGGCACGUGUGCCUUUUUGCAUGUACUUUAUGAAUAAGGAUCGGCUAACUCCGUGCCAGCAGCCGCGGUAAUGCGGAGGAUCCGAGCGUUAUCCGGAUUUAUUGGGUUUAAAGGGAGCGUAGAUGGGUUGUUAAGUCAGUUGUGAAAGUUUGCGGCUCAACCGUAAAAUUGCAAUUGGUACUGGCAGUCGUGAGUACAGGUGAGGGGGGCGGAGUUCGUGGUGUAGCGGUGAAAUGCUUAGAGAUCACGAGGAACCCCGAUUGCGAAGGCAGCUUACUAAACUGUGACUGACAUUGAUGCUCGAAAGUGUGGGUAUCAAACAGGAUUAGAUACCCCAGUAGUC